rnacentral:rRNA from 1 species
GUGGGGAAUAUUGGACAAUGGGCGAAAGCCUGACGCAGCCAUGCCGCGUGAAUGAUGAAGGUCUUAGGAUUGUAAAAUUCUUUCACCGGGGACGAUAAUGACGGUACCCGGAGAAGAAGCCCCGGCUAACUUCGUGCCAGCAGCCGCGGUAAUACGAAGGGGGCUAGCGUUGCUCGGAAUUACUGGGCGUAAAGGGCGCGUAGGCGGAUCGUUAAGUCAGGGGUGAAAUCCCAGAGCUCAACUCUGGAACUGCCCUUGAUACUGGCGAUCUUGAGUGUGAGAGAGGUAUGUGGAACUCCGAGUGUAGAGGUGAAAUUCGUAGAUAUUCGGAAGAACACCAGUGGCGAAGGCGACAUACUGGCUCAUUACUGACGCUGAGGCGCGAAAGCGUGGGGAGCAAACAGGAUUAGAAACCCUAGUAGUCC